CGGAGGAUGCGAGCGUUAUCCGGAUUUAUUGGGUUUAAAGGGUGCGUAGGCGGAUUAAUAAGUCAGUGGUGAAAACCUUCAGCUUAACUGGAGAACUGCCAUUGAUACUGUUAGUCUUGAGUACGGUCAAGGUAGGCGGAAUGUGUAAUGUAGCGGUGAAAUGCUUAGAUAUUACACAGAACACCGAUUGCGAAGGCAGCUUACUGGGCCAUUACUGACGCUGAUGCACGAAAGCGUGGGGAGCGAACAGGA
rnacentral:rRNA from 1 species